AUGAAUAUAUCCAAUGUUAGAGACGAUAUGAGAAAUUAUAUGUUUUCAGGGAACGAAUGAUAGGGUUUUAAAACUAUAUACACUGACUUAUUACGUAAUGGAAAUAUCGUGUUACUAAAUAAAUCGAUUUAAAUAAAGAAUUAUGGGUUUGAUGAUAUUAAAUGUGAGUGUUUGAAACGAACCAUUACGAUGUCUAUCUACAUGAGUCCAUCGGAUAUUUAUUUCUCCCAAAAUACGAUAUUUAACCGCUUUCGAAACACACAAAAUAUUGGAAACGUUUUGGAUGACAUUUAUUUUGGAAGAUUGCAGGUUGAUGACCUUCCCUGUAUAGCGGUAGCCGAUCACGAUGGCCGCUGGUUUUCAGCAGAUAACAGACGUCUCUGGAUAUUCAGGAAAUUGAACCAAUUGGGCAGAUGCAGACAUAUCAAAGUAAUAGUGAUAUCUGCAAUUCCUUCAAACAAAAUGACCACAACAAAUAGAGGCAUAUCGGUCGAAAUUGUCGGUGGUGACAUCGAGGGAGUAAUGGGGAAUCGUUGAAGAACACAGUCUUUGUUUUUUACCGAACUCUCAUGAUUUUGUGUGUGUGCGGGUAUGUGUAUGUGUGACAUGGUCCAUUUUUUAUUUUGCCGUGUGGUUUAUUUAUAAUACACAUACAAACCAUGUUAACUCUUAAUUGAUAUAUUUUACUGCGAUAUAGCAUGUGUUGCAUAUUUAUUCUGUUACGUUUAUUUACCAUGUGUAUUUUUUGACCAUUUAGAUGUGCAUACUAUGCCAAAAUCAUUCAUGUUAUCUAUAGCGAUAUAUGCAGGUUUUUCAAGAAUGACCCGUUAAGAGUGAAGUGAUAUAUUUUCUGAUGACUGUUGAAUCUUGAUGCCUUAAAGAUGCACUCUCACAGAUUUACCGUUUUAACAACGUUUUUGUCUUGAAAAGUGCAAUUUUUUGCGUAAAGAUCUGCAAACCAGUGACAUAAGAUUGCUGACAUAAAAUCAGAUCCUAGAUUGUCAUGUUUCCGUUCGAAAAUUAAUGUUUAUGGCUUAAACCGUUACUAACGGUUUAAGAAAAAUGCAUAAAACAUCCUUUUUGUACUUAAGUAUAAAAGAAUAUACGAUCUAAUUUUUGACAGCAGUCUUAUAUAACUGGUUUCUAUAGAUUUUUUCAAAAAUUGGCUCGUUCCAAGACAAAAAAAAGUUGUCAAAACAUUCAAUCUGUGAGAGUGCAGUCUAAGCAAAUCAUUAAUGUGCGGUACUUUGUACGAGGACGUGGACAAUUGUACACUUUACCAGAAAGUAUUUAUAGCCUGUAGUGUAUGCAUUAUUUACGAGAACGAAAGUAGAAGCUAUAAAUAUUUUUUUCUAAAAUUCUCUUUUCAAAAAUAUUUUUAAAUAAUUAUACAUGAUUAAUCAAACAUAUGUUUAUAUUCAAUAUAUAUAUAUCAGCUGAUUUAAACUUGACGAUAGAUAAAGUACACAUAAAAACAAAAGUAUUAACGA